UGAGCUGUUGGUAGAGCAUAAUUAUAGUAAGAGCGCUGACUCCCCUGCACUCUUCCUCCAUCACUGUGCUCUGUUCACAUGCACACGCAUACAGACACGCACACACACACACACAAGCGUGCACGCAUACUCACACACACGCACUAGUCUCGCUCACACUCACAUGCAGGCAUACUAUCACUCACCUACGGUAUAACUUCACUCCCUGUUUUACUGUCAGACAGAAACGCAAUCGCAACACACAGUAUAACACAACAGCAGGAGACAGCCCUGGUCCUCAGACGACGGUGAUGUGCGCGGAGCGUUUGCACGGGCGAUGAAACGAUAGAAGAAGAAAGAGAGAAAAGGGGGGGGGUCUGUUCAGGCUGUUCUGCGGAGCGCUGACGGCAUGCGGCUCUGCGCGGAUUGCAUCCUCGGGGGACGGUCCUCACACUGAUGGAUGAUAACGGACAGCCGGACGAGUGCGCGGACGGGGCCGUCCAGUCCUGCAGCCAUGAGGGGGCCAUCCUGCGGCCUCACGCAGCGCUCAGACCGGGCCAGCUGGGGACCGGCGACAUGCCUGCUGCCGAUCCCAGCCAGCACAACAUGCACGAUCCCCCUUGGGAUGAGUCAUGGGAGGAGGUGCAGGAGGAGGUGCUGCUGCUGAAUCAGAUGAAAGACAUGGACAGGUCUCCUGUGGGUGGUGCCGAGGAGAUGUCCGUCACCAAGCUUUGGGAGCAGCUGACCCAGAGAGACCAAGAACUGCGCCGUGCUAAGGAGGCCUUGCAAGCGAUGAAGGCUGACCGGAAGCGCUUGAAAAUGGAGAAGGAAGACUUGGAAAAGCAGAUGCAGGAGCUGUAUGCCACGCUGGAGAGCCGCGAGGAGCAGCUCAGAGACUUCAUCCGCAACUACGAGCAGCACAGGAAGGAGAGUGAGGAUGCUGUGAAGAUGUUGGCAAAGGAGAAGGACCUGCUGGAGAGAGAGAAGUGGGAAUUAAAGAGGGAGAGCAAAGAAGCAAUAGACUGCGCCAACAUCCUGCACUCCAAGCUGCAGCUGAGAGAGAAAAGGAGCAAGGAGCUGGAGGCUGAACUCAGCACUGCAAAGCAGUCCCUGUGCAGCCUCACCAAGGAUGUCCCCAAGCGCCAUUCCCUAGCCACACCCACUGAGCUUGUUACCCCUGGAAACCAGGAAUGGACGAAACAGGCAGAACUGCCCCUCACUGCCGCCAUUAGACAGAGUCAGCUGACCCUUUGCCACGGGCAAGCGAUUGUGAGGAACAGCAUAUGCCACUCGCGCCAAUCAUCCAUCAUUUCUGACACCUCUGCUACCGAGGGCGACCGUUCCUCCUCCCCCAGUGACACCAGCUCCCCCCACCACAGGACGCACUCCCCCUGCAAUGUAAGGGCUGCCCGCGGCCACCCUGCAAUCAAUGGAGGACCUGGAGGAGCAGAAGUGUAAGAAAAAGAGGGAGGUGCUGAGUUUGGGCUCGCUGUCUCGUGUUUUUUCCCGGGUAAAGCAGCACAGGUUCAAAAUCUGCUACACUGCCAUCUGCUGGUCAUGAUAUCACACAGCAGCUCAGGCUUUGCUUCCACAAAGAUGACCUCUCCAGGAGUACUGACUGUGAUCAUUAAUGCGGUCUGACAUUUCUAAGCCCAGAUUUAAUGAUCUGUCUUUAGAGUGAAAUGAUCCUGGAAACGAGUUGGAUUGGAUAAUCCAAGAUAAUCCCUGCAGAAAAUAAUUAACCCAUAUGAGAGAACUGGCUAAUCUCCUGGAUAAUUAGAAGUAAGCAUGUGUGUAUAAAAAACAUAAAAGCCUUUUUUUCUUUUCUGAGAUAUAACUAUGAAGCUCAUGCUAUGAUUUCUCUGCCCCUCUAUACAUAAUUGAUAUGGUUUUUCUCUAGAUCUUUCCUUACAAAAUAUUUUAUAUGGCUUUUAUAUACAAGUGCUGAUAGUGCAUUGGUGUAUUUUGCAAAGGAUAGUUGCUUGGCCAGCUCUAUAGUGCCUGAUCAGAGUUGAAUUGUGUAAUUUGUUAUGCAUGGCAAGUAUAUCACAUUUUUGGAAGAAAAAAAAAAAAGUAUUGUAUAUUAAUUUUGGAUUUUUUUUUUUUUUUUUGGGGAAAUCCCACUAUUAGCCUUGAAAAUGUAAAAUUGUGUGCUGUGUCUUGUGUAUAGUGUCUUAUCCACAAAAUAAAAUAAUGUAUUUAUCAGAAGAAUGACAUAAAAAUGUGAUAUAAAAUUAGGCAGAGUGGUCUGCUCAAAGAAAUUUUCAUAUUAAUAAAGUAUGUAAACAUGCUGCUGUUGA